rnacentral:scRNA from 1 species
AUGCCGAUUUGGCGGGGUAGCGGUCGUUAUGA